AUGAGCAAGGAAAAUUUUCUCUAUGACAUGGAGAUGCAUCCAUCAAACAAACGUCCUUCUAAGGAUAAGAACAAAGAUACCUCUAUCCAUGAUGAACAUGUGCAACAAGUGAAGGAAAACACUAGUGCAGAUAAUCUUGGUGGCCAGAACACUAGUAAGAUCUCAAGAGGAGCUAAUGCAACAAAGCAUGCCAAUAAACAACAAUGCAGUACAACAAAUUACCUGGGUGCCGACUCAAUAGAUGUUGGCACUGUAGUCUUUUUGAAGAGCUUAGGAAAUCCAAACAGGAAUGUUGCUCUUGGUACGCUACAAAGCAUUGAGCCAGAAUAUAAAGUUGAGGGUGUUCAUCUUGGUAACCAAUUCUGGGCAGUGCGAGUUGAUGCUACAUUAGCAAAAUCUGAUCAGUUGAUACGACCACUAAAAAAGGUCAACAUUAUUGGUCAUGCAGCAGGAUUAAUUAUCGCAUGGCCUUCAACCUUUAUUGCGAAGAUAAAUUGA
rnacentral:rRNA from 1 species